rnacentral:tRNA from 1 species
GCUUCCUUAGCUCCAAUUGGCAGAGCAUCUGUUUUGUAAUCAGAGGGUUGUCCGUUCGAAUCGGACAGGGAGCACCA